ensembl:lncRNA
CUUAAAAGAAGUUAGAAAACAGUGCACAAAUGAAGUAAUCCUGGGGAUUGAGACACCACCAGGUGACCACGAUGAUACUGUUCAGUUUCAUAAGAUUUUUUCAUCAUGAAAGAAUAAGUGUAUAAAGAGGAAAGCCGAGUGAAAGCACCAGCAGACCAAGUCCAUUCAAGAAACCAAGUACCUCAUCUGAGAAAGGAGAAAAUAAUAUUCUCUCUCUUUCUGAUCUUUUCAUACUUCCCUGUUCAUAAGCCUGGCGUAAUAUGAGAUGAAUUUCAAAUGGAGGUUAUAAUAUGAACUCUGCAGCAUGUUACAGCUCAUCUGGCUUUCCCUAACAGGAAGAGUGGCAGGAUGCCCGUGCUGUCCUCUUCCCUGUGGUUUAUUGUCCAAUCAUAUAAGAAAGUUCUGAAGGAGCAACUGGAAUGAGCCUUCAAGCUGACCAUCCGACCUUCUUCCCAUGCAAACCAUGGUCCUCUGCUUCACCAAAGGAACAGCUGCGUUUGGAGCUUCUCUGACUUCACCUGGAGGGCCGCAGGGCACUGGGGCUAUCGACUGGACUCUUCCUCUUGUCCUGGCACAGCUCAUUGGAUACCAGUCCCAGUCCUGCCUUUUUCACCAGGGCUCACCUGAAGGCUGCAGGAAGCUCGCAUCUGUCCACUGGAUUCUUCUUGUGGUGGUGCAGAGGCUCAGAGGACCCAGUCUCAGUCUUUCCCGUUUCCUCAGAGCUUGGGAAAGAAGAGGUGAUCUUUUGGAAAGAAGAGUACACUUAGUUGAACAUCUUGAAAUAGAAAGUACUAACUUAGAGUCUAUGAAAUUUCUCAGUCCUGUUAUACUUCUCCCAGCAUCUAAAAAACAGCCUGGAAACAAACAAUAUGAGAGAAUUCAUAUAAACGUAAGAAAUUUAGAUUAAAAACACAAACAGGCUCAGGGGAAGGAGGGCAGAACCCAGCAUUUCAGGAAUGUGUUGCUUUCAUCGUUCUUUCACCGCUCCAAGACCCGCGGGCCCAAACCUGCACCCUGCUGAGCACCUCCUGAGAAGUGAGAGGACCUCUGUGGGAUCUGAUUAUCUAAACUGGACAUGAAUGUCUGAAUUCAGAAGUGGAACCUGUGAGAGAGCCACUGCCAGGAGUGACUCGGUGUAAGAGAUCACAGAUGGUUGUCUGUGGCAUUUCUGAGGCGAAGACCUCGAAUGUUUGAACAGCUCCUUGCCCCAGCCUGUUCCACCGAUGACCACCCGACCCCACAUUUGUGUAUUGGUUUCCCUGUCCAGUCUCAGGGUGUCGGACUGACAAACCCAAAGCAGGUUGUCUCCACCCCACUCUGCUCCUGGGGUUUUUCUCACCCCUGGAGGUGAACUUCGAGAUGCUCUGGCCUUGUCCUGGCUGUCAAGGUCAGAUGAAUGUGGAAUCUGAAUCCUCAUGAAUAUCAUUAUGCCCCAGAAUUUUCCCAAAUUCCAAAUGCUGGGACCUUUUCCAGUCCUUUGCAAGGCUACUCAUCUCGAAAAAUAAAAUAAAUUGGUAAAUCUCCAUUCCAAUUCCGGAAGAUAGAAUCUAGGCAGCUCACAAAAAUGUGAAAAUAUGCAAAGUAAACAGAUUGUUUCUGACAGUAACAACCCUGCGAUUGCAUAAAGCAUCAUCAAAUUGCAACAUGCACGUAUUAAGCUUUGAGAACAACUGAAUUCACAGUGACACAUUCUCUGCUCUUGAAUUCAUUAUCACACAUGCUCAGCUCGGAGAUUUGCAGUAUUGCACCUUGUUCUCGAAGGUGGUCUCCAAAGGAGCUCUCUAUUAUCAAGGUAAUCUCAUUUAGGUUCAAUUUUCUCAAGUUCUUUGUGAGUUGUAGGGAGAAUUGUAGCAAGGGUGGGGCAAAAGGGUGCCAAAUAGAGAUAAGUGCAUUCAAGCCCUUCUUUUGGUUCCGCCACCUGGAAGAUACCCAGAGCAAAUCUGUAAGAGGUACUGGAAGGAGCUGGUGAAAGGCUGAAAGGAGGUGUAGUGCAGUGCCCUGACACCCUGCCAUGGUCAGCUGGGCUGAUCCACAUGCACUAUUCCCUUUGUGAUGGAUACUUUAUUAAGUAGAAAUUCUUAGGGAAAACAAAGCAAAACAAAACCAAACCAAACCAUCUCAUUCACUGUGCAAAUGGUAAUAACAACUCGCCAGAAAACAGUAAAAAGACAGAG